rnacentral:rRNA from 1 species
GUCGCAUGCUCCCGGCCGCCAUGGCGGCCGCGGGAAUUCGAUUAGAGUUUGAUCCUGGCUCAGAUUGAACGCUGGCGGCAGGCCUAACACAUGCAAGUCGAGCGGUAGAGAGAAGCUUGCUUCUCUUGAGAGCGGCGGACGGGUGAGUAAUGCCUAGGAAUCUGCCUGGUAGUGGGGGAUAACGUUCGGAAACGGACGCUAAUACCGCAUACGUCCUACGGGAGAAAGCAGGGGACCUUCGGGCCUUGCGCUAUCAGAUGAGCCUAGGUCGGAUUAGCUAGUUGGUGGGGUAAUGGCUCACCAAGGCGACGAUCCGUAACUGGUCUGAGAGGAUGAUCAGUCACACUGGAACUGAGACACGGUCCAGACUCCUACGGGAGGCAGCAGUGGGGAAUAUUGGACAAUGGGCGAAAGCCUGAUCCAGCCAUGCCGCGUGUGUGAAGAAGGUCUUCGGAUUGUAAAGCACUUUAAGUUGGGAGGAAGGGCAGUAAAUUAAUACUUUGCUGUUUUGACGUUACCGACAGAAUAAGCACCGGCUAACUCUGUGCCAGCAGCCGCGGUAAUACGAAUCACUAGUGAAUUCGCGGCCGCCUGCAGGUCGACCAUAUGGGAGAGCUCCCACGCGUUGGAUGC